GCGUGAAGACCUUUGGCUCUCUUGACGCGUGGAGUUGUCUAUGCUCAGGCGUCGGAGAUCCGGUGGUGUUCCUCGGUCUUUGUCUCCUCCAGCCUUCGGUUUAAACAGCAGAGAGCCCUUCUCGGAACUGUGCACCUUCUGUUUUGGGUUUCUCGAGCCGGUUCUUCUUUGUAUCUGCAACUCCGUCCUGUCACCGGUUGUUGCUUCAGCCUAGCCUUUUGAUUCAUCCUCUAGUUUUUAGAGGUGAUGCGUGUGAGAUGGUUGGACCUUCAGGUGGUCUCUGCAGGUUCAUUUUCCUCUCCGUGACGGCACGUUUGGUCUCCGGCUAUCCCAGUGCCUUGUGGGUCUUUGAUCUUCUCGGCAAGUUGGAGUCCAUCAAUGGCUUGCAGGUGCUCGUCUCAGCGUGUUUUUAGCCAGCCACAUCUCAGCCUGUUUUACGGCUUCUUUUGGCCGAAGCGUCUCUGUUUCGGUUCUAGAAAGCCUUCAGUUUAUCUCUUCACUCCCCCUAUCUAUAAAUCAAGUUCAAGUCUCGGGUUAGUGUGUCGAAUACGACCUCUCCGUAUCUCCGUACUGGUCAGGGUCUGCCAAGAGAGACGGACUUGUUGAGGAUGGCGGUUCCCCUUAACUUUUCUUUUAAAAAUACUAAAUGGCUGCUUUUGAAUUAUCUUUUGGUCCGGAGAAAAUGAGUAACACGGUUCGAACAAAGUGAGUAACGCGUAGAAGCUGGUGAAUCAGGACCGCUAGACUUUUUAUGAGAUCCCUUGAAUUAUGAGAAAAAGACCAAAGUAGCACUAAAUCAAGUUUUUGUUUCAAAGAAGCUGGUAAGUCACUUUUUCUCUCUCGACACAAAACAAAAAAAAAAUCAUCUCCUCCCCUCCGGCACGGUGGCCUCGGCGCCGUCGCCGGUGGCUCUCUCUUAACCCUUCCUCUUUUCUUCUUUGCUUUCCCCUCGCUCUACGUCCUGCAGCUGAUAUGUCGAAGCCCUAGGGAGCUCUGCCGGAAGCUGGCUCUCUGGAUCUGGAGCUCGGUGACAGAUCUAGUCUAUGGUGGCCUUCCCCGGUGUCAAGAUGAGGCAGCAAGGCGUUUUGGUAAGGGGAGAGUCGGAUUUUGGGUGGUGAGUACCGAUGAGCGUUUUUCCCAGAUCUGUCUUGCUUCAUCGGUUACUUCCGCGAGUUGGUGGCGCGUGGGCUUUGGAAGAGUCUCACUCGACUCGGAUCUGUCCUUUCGUCGGUGUGGAGAGGCGGUUGUCUCCAUUAGUUUGUCGCCUUGGUGUCUCGGCUUUGGACUCGGUCUCAACCCCUUUCAAGAUGUGCCUCGGAGGUCCUCGACUUCUAGACGUGCAGCGGUGGUCUCUUCUCUGGCGGUGUCAGAUGCAAGUUUCCUCGAUGGCGCGUGAAGACCUUUGGCUCUCUUGACGCGUGGAGUUGUCUAUGCUCAGGCGUCGGAGAUCCGGUGGUGUUCCUCGGUCUUUGUCUCCUCCAGCCUUCGGUUUAAACAGCAGAGAGCCCUUCUCGGAACUGUGCACCUUCUGUUUUGGGUUUCUCGAGCCGGUUCUUCUUUGUAUCUGCAACUCCGUCCUGUCACCGGUUGUUGCUUCAGCCUAGCCUUUUGAUUCAUCCUCUAGUUUUUAGAGGUGAUGCGUGUGAGAUGGUUGGACCUUCAGGUGGUCUCUGCAGGUUCAUUUUCCUCUCCGUGACGGCACGUUUGGUCUCCGGCUAUCCCAGUGCCUUGUGGGUCUUUGAUCUUCUCGGCAAGUUGGAGUCCAUCAAUGGCUUGCAGGUGCUCGUCUCAGCGUGUUUUUAGCCAGCCACAUCUCAGCCUGUUUUACGGCUUCUUUUGGCCGAAGCGUCUCUGUUUCGGUUCUAGAAAGCCUUCAGUUUAUCUCUUCACUCCCCCUAUCUAUAAAUCAAGUUCAAGUCUCGGGUUAGUGUGUCGAAUACGACCUCUCCGUAUCUCCGUACUGGUCAGGGUCUGCCAAGAGAGACGGACUUGUUGAGGAUGGCGGUUCCCCUUAACUAGUUGGUCUGUUUCGAUUUCCAUUUUUUGAUAGUCGGUAAGAGAAAGAGAGUGUCGUGUGGAUCGAGCAGCUGUGUGUUGGCGCUGGUUUGAGAGAAAGUAUCUUUGCAGUGGUCGUCUAAAUUUCGAUUUGGUCGGCGUCGUUGGCCGCGGACUUCUGGUGAUGACGGGAACCGGUAACGGAUCCCUGAACCUUAGGUUUUUUCCCUCCCGCUGUUUUUAUGCUGUUCUCUCUUUGUGUAAUAGUGAUAAGCCUAAUUUAUUUGUGAGAUUUACUGUUUAUUCGACGACUAGCCGGAGGUCUUGUUCCGGU
rnacentral:lncRNA from 1 species